GCGGGAAUGGCGGAAUUGGCAGACGCGCAUGAUUCAGGUUCAUGUGUGCAAUACGCACUUGCAGGUUCAAGUCCUGUUUCCCGCACCA
rnacentral:tRNA from 1 species